GAGCCUCAGCCAAUCACAGAGCCCGAGGUAGCUCACUGACGACAUAACCCGCCAAGAAGACCAGGGACGGCGCAAUACGUGCCAUGUAUUCCCUCAACUUUAUUUCAUUCUGUUCUAUUUCUCUGAUUGCUCGCACCGAUGCAAACAAUAUCUUACUAUAAAAACAUGAGCGGCCGUAGUAAGAUCUAGAUUGGGAAGAAUACGAUGAAACUUGGGAAUUACUGGUAUGAUUAUCUGUCACGUAACAUUACGACAUCGAGUAAGCAGACCUCUACUACUUGAAUACAUUUCACUCCGACUCGACAACUGUCUCGUCAAGUUUGUCUUUUUCUUAAGUUUACGUUUUUUCUAGCUCGCUCGGGAUUUUACGUAACUUUGUAUUUAUAAACUAUGGUAGAGAACACUCGUUAACCUGGACAGUGAUUGACGCCGGGGUCAUCCUCCACGCGUCCAUGACCACUGUCAUUGCCAAAAAUGGCAGGGGGAAUGGACGUCAGCAUCGUUGAAUCUGUUAAUUGAAAAAGAAUCUUAGAUUUGAUCGUAACGCGGACAGAAAAACACGCACCCCCCAGUGGCUCAGGGUAACCGGAGUCUAGUGACUCCCGUGGUGUUCAACGUAUCACGCAUGGACGAAAAUUUAAACGAGAACUAUAGAACUCUACUGAGAAUCUUGGAUGAGUCACGGCGUAGGUCGCGUGGGUGGUGAACGGAGUAGCCGGAACAUUUCAAACGACUGGGUGACUCACCGAUUGGGAACAUCGUAUAUUCGCACGUUAACCUGUCUCGCCGCAUCUGAUUCCCCUACUCAUUCAGCAGCUUUCAGCCACAGGAUCCUGACACUUUUCGCCCUGCUCCCCGCCUUGUACUUUACAGGUGUCGCCUGUGCCCCAAGUAUCCGAUGUACUGAGAAACAGACCUCGGAAAAGGCUAUGCUUAGUAGUAAAUAGAUCUUUGCUCCCGAUCGGAGAUACGAAUGAGGAAUGACACUUUUACUGAUAAGAAUUAAAUAAAACUCGCUGAAGACAGAUAAGAAGGGUAUCAAAGAAAUGCUCAGAGAGGAUGACAUUCACCUGCUUAGCUUCGCAUCUACGAUCAAAUCUAAAUGAACAGGCGCUCGGCGUCCUUGGGCUAGCUUCUCCUAGCUAGCAACCAAGUGUAUGUACGCUGCAGCAGGAAAUGGCUGGCUAAGGAGAUAGCUAUUCAUUACAACGCAUGAGCUUCCUUAUGAUCUUGAAUGCGGCCAACUGCGGUCUUAUUAGUAUUGGAGCACGUCGGGAGGGAUAUUUGACGUCUGACGUAAGCAAGUCUCUUCCGUAUCGCCAGUGGCCCCUGACAAUGUCACUCGGACAAGCUGCAAUGAUUUCCAGAACAAAGGAGAGAAACGAGCGUUGAAUUCGUACUGGGCAACUGCAAUAUAUUAUUAGCAACAAUGCAAAAUAUCAGCUAUCAAUCUGUGGACUCUGCACUCACUUGCAGAAUUGCUGGUUCGUAUAUCAGGCGCAGCUACGCUCUGCGUAAUGUUUUAGCUUUCAACUUCGACCACGUGGGACCAAAUGAGUCAAACCUACAUAAGUGCUACAGCGUGCACGUGUAUUUCAGCUGACGGCCACUUGCAAAAUACACAGGGCAGACAAAGCGUGCACCAGGAGUGAGGUUAUAUGGGCAGUAGUUUAUUUAUACGCUUUGCGUAUUAUUAUUCUCUACACAACUCAUAUGGUGGAAGGCACGUGUUAUAAUGGGACACGGGAUACUUCUGUUGCAAUAAAUUAUUUCACGUUGAUAUUACCUAUUUAGAUCAUUAAAUAUUUAUUUUUUCACUUCGGCCACGUCACUUGGAAUCAGACUUUAAAAAGUAUAUAGGUUACAGCAGUAGGACCAGACUGUAGAGAUGAACAUGGGCGUUGGCGCCUACAACUGAAUUAUACAUUUUAGGAGAGGGCUCCGUUUAGGAUCGUUCCUUUCCUUUCUUUCUUCCUGACUUCCUCUCCUUUACGAGGCACGGCUAACUAACGUCGGAGAUAAGGGAACAAUGAUGGCACCCCCUCCUCGUUUCUUUUGUAUACCUCUCGCGUGCAGGCUUCUUUAAUCCUACGGAUCCAUUGUAUGCAAAACACGUUUACAGCGAUCAUUCAAUAUUCCCAGAGUCGAGAGGCUGCGUCGUCGUCACGCGACCACGAGGACUCCCGACAAAGGUAGUAAAUUGAAAAUUAUAAUGUUCGUGAUCGUAAUUUCAGAUUUAUCGGUCUUCUCGCACACGAGAAGUUCACGCUUCGUCCAAUCUUAAGGAUCAUCUCGGACUGGACGAAUCAAGAUGCCGGAAGACUCUUACGUCUCCAAAGUGCAGUAUACAAAGCAAAGGAUGCUACCCGUCGGAACGAUUGAGUGUGACGUCAUACCAGAGAAAACUGGUAAAUACACAAAAAUGAAAACACCUAAAAGGAAUCCCUCGGUCUAAUUAUCCUUGCAUGAUUGUUCUUGCGAUUACUCAUAUCGCUAUCGGAAAUGAGUAAGACUCGAGAUAGGCAAAAAAUGUUUGAGCUACAAACGACGUCGGAGUGGUUGGAGGCCUCUGGUGGCUUUGUGUGCCAAGCACUGCCAGCCAUAAACUACGCGGGACGCAGCAUCGAAUCUCUAAACAGCCAGCGAACGAUAAAGCACGGCCUGACACAUGGGACAUGAGUUUUUAUUAUUCCAUUUUAUUAUCGCGAGAUUGAUAGCAUCUCUCGAUAACAAUUAACACGGUAAGUAAACACGUGCAUUGUUAUUAACUAGUUACAACAUGUGACGAGCAGAUUGCAUAUUUUUAUCUUCCAAGUAUGUAUACACGCGCGACGUUGAAAAUACGGCAAAGGAAAAUUCGAGAAAAAAAGGAAAACAUGUAAUAGAGACUUUCUUUUCCCUCUUAUUUGUCAGACGUUGAACAAUGAAGUUAAAUUAAAUGUAGAUAACUUAAUGCGUUCAAUACCUACCGCUAUGAUAUCGUCUAGACUCGAACCAUCAGACCUCAAUGUUGAGUCAAAUGGAUGUAAAAAACAAAAAAUGCAAAUCGACGGAUGACCGACCGCAAGACGGUUGUU